rnacentral:rRNA from 1 species
GAUGAACGCUGGCGGCGUGCCUAAUACAUGCAAGUCGAGCGAACGGACGAGAAGCUUGCUUCUCUGAUGUUAGCGGCGGACGGGUGAGUAACACGUGGAUAACCUACCUAUAAGACUGGGAUAACUUCGGGAAACCGGAGCUAAUACCGGAUAAUAUUUUGAACCGCAUGGUUCAAAAGUGAAAGACGGUCUUGCUGUCACUUAUAGAUGGAUCCGCGCUGCAUUAGCUAGUUGGUAAGGUAACGGCUUACCAAGGCGACGAUGCAUAGCCGACCUGAGAGGGUGAUCGGCCACACUGGAACUGAGACACGGUCCAGACUCCUACGGGAGGCAGCAGUAGGGAAUCUUCCGCAAUGGGCGAAAGCCUGACGGAGCAACGCCGCGUGAGUGAUGAAGGUCUUCGGAUCGUAAAACUCUGUUAUUAGGGAAGAACAUAUGUGUAAGUAACUGUGCACAUCUUGACGGUACCUAAUCAGAAAGCCACGGCUAACUACGUGCCAGCAGCCGCGGUAAUACGUAGGUGGCAAGCGUUAUCCGGAAUUAUUGGGCGUAAAGCGCGCGUAGGCGGUUUUUUAAGUCUGAUGUGAAAGCCCACGGCUCAACCGUGGAGGGUCAUUGGAAACUGGAAAACUUGAGUGCAGAAGAGGAAAGUGGAAUUCCAUGUGUAGCGGUGAAAUGCGCAGAGAUAUGGAGGAACACCAGUGGCGAAGGCGACUUUCUGGUCUGUAACUGACGCUGAUGUGCGAAAGCGUGGGGAUCAAACAGGAUUAGAUACCCUGGUAGUCCACGCCGUAAACGAUGAGUGCUAAGUGUUAGGGGGUUUCCGCCCCUUAGUGCUGCAGCUAACGCAUUAAGCACUCCGCCUGGGGAGUACGACCGCAAGGUUGAAACUCAAAGGAAUUGACGGGGACCCGCACAAGCGGUGGAGCAUGUGGUUUAAUUCGAAGCAACGCGAAGAACCUUACCAAAUCUUGACAUCCUUUGACAACUCUAGAGAUAGAGCCUUCCCCUUCGGGGGACAAAGUGACAGGUGGUGCAUGGUUGUCGUCAGCUCGUGUCGUGAGAUGUUGGGUUAAGUCCCGCAACGAGCGCAACCCUUAAGCUUAGUUGCCAUCAUUAAGUUGGGCACUCUAAGUUGACUGCCGGUGACAAACCGGAGGAAGGUGGGGAUGACGUCAAAUCAUCAUGCCCCUUAUGAUUUGGGCUACACACGUGCUACAAUGGACAAUACAAAGGGCAGCGAAACCGCGAGGUCAAGCAAAUCCCAUAAAGCUGUUCUCAGUUCGGAUUGUAGUCUGCAACUCGACUACAUGAAGCUGGAAUCGCUAGUAAUCGUAGAUCAGCAUGCUACGGUGAAUACGUUCCCGGGUCU